AUACGGAGGGUGCAAGCGUUACUCGGAAUCACUGGGCGUAAAGCGCGCGCAGGCGGUCUUUUAAGUUGGAUGAGAAAGCCUACGGCUCAACCGUAGAACUGCAUCCAAAACUAUUAGACUAGAGUGUGGGAGAGGAAGAUGGAAUUAGUUGUGUAGGGGUAAAAUCCGUAGAGAUAACUAGGAAUACCAAAAGCGAAGGCAAUCUUCUGGAACACUACUGACGCUGAGGUGCGAAAGCGUGGGGAGCAAACAGGAUUAGAUACCCUAGUAGUCC
rnacentral:rRNA from 1 species